rnacentral:rRNA from 1 species
AAAGAACUUUGAAGAGAGAGUUCAAUAGGACGUGAAACCGUUUGUAGGUAAACAGGUGGAACCACGAAGUUUGCUGGGAAGAGGAUUCAACUGUUCUGGUGCGAGGCAGUUGUCGGUGUCGUAUUCGGUUCUCUUUGGAGGGCAGGCACCGGUGACACUAACGCUUCUGCCAGGCGGUGCAUUUCUUCACUCCCAUGCUAAAGCCAUGACCGAUUAGAGGACUAGUGCGUCCGUAUGCGAUGGUCUCAGGAAGGUAGCUGGGUGCGUCUUCGGAUGUAUGCUAGUGUUAUAGCCUGUGGCCGGGUUAUUGCCAAGCACUUAGUGUACUGAUCGGCUCAAUUUCUCCACUUAUGUGGGGUUUGCAGUAAUGGGUGCGUACAGUUCAGUGGUCGAGAGUGUGUCUGUUUGGUGGCUCUUUCUGUGCUUUCGUACGGAAAGACUGUCUUACUGAUGGCUCUAUGCUGGCUGCAGUAUCUGUGCGCAUCUGAGCAAUCGAUGG